rnacentral:rRNA from 1 species
ACAAGCGGUGGAGCACGUGGUUUAAUUCGAUGCAAACCGAACGAACCUUACCUGGGUUUGACAUGUACGUGUUACUGAUCUGAGAGGAGAGGGACCCAUGCUUCGGUAUGGGAGCGUACACAGGUGCUGCAUGGCUGUCGCCAGCUCGUGUCGUGAGAUGUUGGGUUAAGUCCCGUAACGAGCGCAACCCUUGUCCUUAGUUACCAGCACGUUAUGGUGGGCACUCUAAGGAGACUGCCGGUGACAAACCGGAGGAAGGUGGGGAUGACGUCAAGUCAUCAUGGCCCUUACGGCCUGGGCUACACACGUGCUACAAUGGUCGGUACAAAGGGUUGCCAAGCCGCGAGGUGGAGCUAAUCCCAUAAAACCGAUCGUAGUCCGGAUCGCAGUCUGCAACUCGACUGCGUGAAGUCGGAAUCGCUAGUAAUCGUGAAUCAGAAUGUCACGGUGAAUACGUUCCCGGGCCUU